rnacentral:rRNA from 1 species
UAGGGAAUCUUCGGCAAUGGGGGGAACCCUGACCGAGCAACGCCGCGUGAGUGAAGAAGGUUUUCGGAUCGUAAAGCUCUGUUGUUAAGGAAGAACGAGUGUGAGAAUGGAAAGUUCAUGCUGUGACGGUACUUAACCAGAAAGGGACGGCUAACUACGUGCCAGCAGCCGCGGUAAUACGUAGGUCCCGAGCGUUGUCCGGAUUUAUUGGGCGUAAAGCGAGCGCAGGCGGUUAGAAAAGUCUGAAGUGAAAGGCAGUGGCUCAACCAUUGUAGGCUUUGGAAACUGUUUAACUAGAGUGAAGAAGGGGAGGGGGGAAUUCCAUGUGUAGCGGUGAAAUGCGUAGAUAUAUGGAGGAACACCGGUGGCGAAAGCGGCUCACUGGUCUGUAACUGACGCUGAGGCUCGAAAGCGUGGGGAGCGAACAGG